rnacentral:rRNA from 1 species
GCCUACCAUGGUUUUAACGGGUAACGGGGAAUUAGGGUUCGAUUCCGGAGAGGGAGUCUGAGAAACGGCUACCACAUCCAAGGAAGGCAGCAGGCGCGCAAAUUACCCAAUCCCGAUACGGGGAGGUAGUGACAAUAAAUAACAAUACAGGGCUCUUAUGGGUCUUGUAAUUGGAAUGAGUACAAUUUAAAUCCCUUAACGAGGAACAAUUGGAGGGCAAGUCUGGUGCCAGCAGCCGCGGUAAUUCCAGCUCCAAUAGCGUAUAUUAAAGUUGUUGCAGUUAAAAAGCUCGUAGUUGAAUUUCGGGGUUCUACCGUCGGUCGGGCUACCAAGUCUGUACUGGUGUGUAGAAUUCCUACCUUCUGGGGAACUAUCAUGUUAUUAAUUUAGCGUGGUGGGAAACCAGGACCUUUACCUUGAAAAAAUUAGAGUGUUCGAAGCAGGCUUAUGUCUGAAUACAUUAGCAUGGAAUAAUAGAAUAGGACGGUGGUCCUGUUUUGUUGGUUUCUGAAUCACCGUAAUGAUUAAUAGGGAUAGUUGGGGGCAUUAGUAUUCAAUUGUCAGUAGGUGAAAUUCUUGGAUUUAUCGAAGUACUAACUUCUGCGAAAGCAUUUGCCAAGGAUGUUUUCAUUAAUCAAGAACGAAAGUUAGGGGAUCGAAGACGAUCAGAUACCGUCGUAGUCUUAACCAUAAACUAUGCCGACUAGGGAUCGGACGAUGUUAAAUUUUAUUGACUCGUUCGGCGCCUUACG